rnacentral:lncRNA from 1 species
UUAUAAUGUGGCCUAUUGGCCCUCCAGGGAAAACAGGAAAUCCAGGAAAAGGGAUUUAAAAGAGGGCAUUAGUUACAAUCCUAACUGUACACACACACACACACACACAUAUGUACACACAUACACACAUACACCACGCAAUUAUAUAUAUCAAUUAAAGGAGAAAGCUAAAGAUUAACAGUUAAAAAAUCUGUUUAUAAAUUAGAAAAAUAUCAUCAGACUGUAAAGAAAGGAGAAGAAAUCAGUACAGAGUAGCAUCACAGAGUUAAGUUAGCAGAAUGUUCUAAGGUAGUUAUAAUCAACAGUUCCAAGAGACACUUAAAAAUGAAUGGCAUAUUUCACUUCACACAAUGUCCUCCAGGUUCAUCCAUAUUGUUGCAAAUAACAAGAUUUCCUUCUUUUUUAAGGCUUAAUAGUAUUCCAUUGUGCAUACAGACCUCAUUUUUUACUCCAUUCAUCUGUUGAUGGCUGUAUCUUGGCUCUUGAGAAUAAUGCAGCAAUGAACAUGGGAGUGCAGGUAAAGCUACAGAUCAUCUCAAAUUCAGUUCAAGUGAGAACAAAACGGGAGAACAGGAUCAUUCAAAUUAUUAUGCUGAUGGAAUGGACUGAAAAUAAAUACCAUCUCACCUAACACUGAAAUAUAACUGACCAUGCUGUGAUAGGUAUUGCAUAAUCGUUCAUUUUUAUGGGAAAAACUGCUGACCUGGACAAUAUACUUUUGCCAGAUCGCACUGCUGAGGAUUUUUUUCUAAGUACAUAGAUUUUGAAGCUCGUGAUUGCUCAUAAUUUUCCCCUCUAUAUUUAUUUGUAAAGAUAGCAACUGGAUUUUUAAUAAAGAACAAUCAAAAUAUAUGAAUGGAUUUUUGGCCAUUUUCUGAAACUUAGAAAAAGAGUUCAUACAUAAAUAAGUGUUGUUGAUAUAUUACAUUAGUGAUUCACUAUGCCCUUUGUUUAUAUCAGAGUUUUUAUUCUAUGUAUCUUGAAUCAGGAUUU